UACGUAGGGUGCAAGCGUUAAUCGGAAUUACUGGGCGUAAAGCGUGCGCAGGCGGUGAUGUAAGACAGACGUGAAAUCCCCGGGCUCAACCUGGGAACUGCAUUUGUGACUGCAUCGCUGGAGUGCGGCAGAGGGGGAUGGAAUUCCGCGUGUAGCAGUGAAAUGCGUAGAUAUGCGGAGGAACACCGAUGGCGAAGGCAAUCCCCUGGGCCUGCACUGACGCUCAUGCACGAAAGCGUGGGGAGCAAACAGG
rnacentral:rRNA from 1 species